UCAACUAAAUUCUGACAUUUAUUAAUGUGUCGAAAACGUUCCCAUCUGAACUUAAUUUUUUUUCCCAUAAUUCAUCUGGGGUUGUUGCUAUGGUUGUGUCUGCUCUUAAAUCUGCCCACAGAUUUUCAAUGGGGUUUAUAUCAGCUCCUCUUGCUGGCCAGGAUAUCACUUUGCUGCCGGGAUAACGAAUUUCUUAGUUAUUCGCGCUGUGUGAAUAGAAGAUUUGUCGUGAACAAAAUUUACUACAGAUUCUCCAAAUAACAUUUCCAGUGCAGGCAAUAGUUUUCCAAUAUAUCUAUAUAUU
rnacentral:lncRNA from 1 species